GCGGGGACUCGGGAUUCCAAGCCAGCACUUCCUCCUGCACAAUUCUGGGCUCUUCCCACAAAGUGGGAGGAGACCAGACCUGCGCUGCCUUUCUGAUAAGGACAAGGGAAGGGAGAAGCUUGUAUUAGCCUAGUAGGCGGAUUGUAAAAACUGAAAGGGACUGCAAAUUAACAAUCCUGCGUGUCCCUGCUUCCAAACCUUACUUGACCGCUUUAGGAAAGGAAACGGAAGAAACUCGCAAAAACAAAUGACUGCACAAACUCCUCUCCCCAAACCUGAUUUUUCUCUGGAGAACUGAGCAAAUGAAAGACCAGAGAGAAAUGGCUUAUAGCAGCAUCCCCACAGUAGUGUGCCAGAGUCUUAAUAGACCAAGAGCCUAUAGGAGAGAUGAGAUAGGGCCUUCAAGAAAAACAUUUUGACAUCAAAGAUCAAAUUGCCAUCUCCCAUAAUAAUGCUGCUGUCACCUGUACUAAGUAAGAUAAGGAGGCUUCGUGACAGUAAGGAGAAUUGGGAAUCCUGACCAAAAUCCUCCAAGUUUUCCUCAUAGCAAAUAGGAUACUUUUGGAGCAGGAGUAGCAUCUACGAACACCUUCUAACUCAGAUACCUAUCUUUUGCCUUAGAGGAGACAGACUCACCCACUUUGCAAAACAUUGGCUUCAAGAGUUACAUCUGUGUGUGUGUGCAGGAAGAGACAUUGAAGUCAGCCCCAGGAUUAAACAGAUGGCAAGGAGUACAGCACUGUCCUCCAGACACAAAGCUUUCACCACAUUUGUCAAAGUAACAAAAUUCCACCGAUUUAAAGAGAUUUGAUAACUAUUUCAACAAAUCAUUCAAGUAUGUGAAGUUAAUGGAUAAGAGAAAGCACCAGAACUGAGGGCAGAACUAGUGUACCCUUUUCAUCAGAAGACUGAAUUACCAACAUUUUAAAUAUGGAAAUGAAUAUACACUACUCCAUAGUUCUAAAGUCCCAAUGAAUAUGAAAAAAGGACGUACUGCUAAAUUUUAAACUUUGUGGUCGUUUUUAUUAGAUGUGCAGAGUAUUUUAACAAAUCCCUCCAAUAUGUCUGAUGAUACUUACAGAUGGAUCUGACUGAAAUAAAUACGGUCGCCCCUCAUUCCAACCACAAAUUAGUAGGGAAACUCCAAAUGGACGAACACCACUAAAGAAAAGAAAACAUGAAAUUAUGGUGUGAAGUCAACCUAAGGAUUUACUAAUCCUCUUAAGUAUUAAUAAAGCAAAUCAUCAGGUAGAAUGAAUUAGACUUGGAAGUUCCUUAAAAAGUAUUUCCUACCUUUCUGAACAAAUCAAUUCAAAAUGAAUUCUCUUUAUGGUGCUAAGGAACAUUAGUCAAAUCAUUUUGGUAAAUGGAGGAACACAAAUAUUGGGGUUAGUUAAGUAUGGAGUUAACAUUCUGUGUCUUAACAGAAUGACAACUUUCAACAAAUGCAGCUUUUCCACUUGCUUUACGUAUCAGCAACUCCCUUUAUCCUACCUCAUCCACAUGUAGCCCAGAUUCCAGAAAAUUAAAAGAAUAUAGAUGUGUCAGAGAGCUAUUGCUUUCUUCAUGUGCUUAUAAUCAUUCUGGUUGGAAAGAUAAAUUUGGAAGCAGGAAUAACUGCCUUCCCAUAAUUAAGUGUUUCAAUCCCUGGGCUAAAGGACUUUAUCUAGAAGCUGCCUUCUGCUAUUGUGUUGACAGCAAGAAACCACUCUACUUUUUUCAUUAAGAAAAUAUUCUAGAUCCAACUGAGAUUAGAUAUAUUCAUCAGAGUGAUUUUCUUUACUUAUUAAAUAGAGCUAAGUCCUCUUUUUAAAUAUAUUCACUCUUCUAAAACAGUUUCUUUUCUCUAAUUCAUGACACAUUUCAAAUAAAAUCAACUUACCCUGA